AGCAAAUUGAAAGUUACAGUUACAAAAAUUGGGACAACUUCCAGCAUAGUCAUCAUUCAAAAGUUAGUCCAUCACCAGUGAAAGAGAUCUUUGGACGCUGACCAGCUAUAUGUUUGGAAUCACAGAGAGCAGCGAAGACUGGAAAAACUGCUGAUGCACUUGCUGAAUUUCUUUGGGGUUAUGACUUA